rnacentral:rRNA from 1 species
UCGAGGGGCAGCAGGUCUGUAGCAAUACAGAUGCUGGCGACCGGCAAACGGGUGCGGAACACGUACAGAACCUUCCUUCGAGCGGGGAAUAGCCCAGAGAAAUUUGGAUUAAUACCCCAUAGUAUAUUGGAGUGGCAUCACUUUGAUAUUAAAGAUUUAUCACUUGAAGAUGGCUGUGCGGCUGAUUAGGUAGUUGGCGGGGUAACGGCCCACCAAGCCAGCGAUCAGUAACUGGUGUGAGAGCACGACCAGUCACACGGGCACUGAGACACGGGCCCGACUCCUACGGGAGGCAGCAGUAAGGAAUAUUGGUCAAUGGACGCAAGUCUGAACCAGCCAUGCCGCGUGGAGGAUGAAGGUCCUCUGGAUUGUAAACUUCUUUUAUAUGGGACGAAAAAAGGCUUUUCUAAGUCGUCUGACGGUACCAUAUGAAUAAGCACCGGCUAACUCCGUGCCAGCAGCCGCGGUAAUACGGAGGGUGCAAGCGUUAUCCGGAUUCACUGGGUUUAAAGGGUGCGUAGGUGGGUUGGUAAGUCAGUGGUGAAAUCCCCGAGCUUAACUUGGGAACUGCCAUUGAUACUAUCAGUCUUGAAUACCGUGGAGGUUAGCGGAAUAUGUCAUGUAGCGGUGAAAUGCUUAGAUAUGACAUAGAACACCAAUUGCGAAGGCAGCUGGCUACACGAAUAUUGACACUGAGGCACGAAAGCGUGGGGAUCAAACAGGAUUAGAUACCCUGGUAGUCCACGCCCUAAACUAUGGAUACUCGACAUCAGCGAUACACUGUUGGUGUCUGAGCGAAAGCAUUAAGUAUCCCACCUGGGAAGUACGAUCGCAAGAUUGAAACUCAAAGGAAUUGGCGGGG